rnacentral:lncRNA from 1 species
CGUGCCGGAGAAAUGGCUCGAGAACAGGCACCACAGCAGGAUCAUGGUGUCUAACAUCUGCUACCUCCUCCUCACUGCCUGGUAAAAGCAAUGCCCCCAAACGCCCUCAGUCAGCUGCUUUCCCAUUUCUCACAGUGGCUAUUACAAACAUUUACUGUGCCAUAAUCUCCCCGCAUGAUGAUGACCAUGACUCCUAUGUGGCGGUGAAAUAAAGGCAAGAACCCCCUCAGCUUUUCCCUCUCCACCCUCUGCAAAUCAGCGGGCCCGAACACCAGCUCUGCUCACUGCCUCCUCUCCAGUCGCAGUAUAAGAAGUACUGGCUGAAGGUUACCCUCUCUUUCCUUCCCACUUCCUCUGUGCCCUUGCCCUUGCUUUAUCUUUAACUUCCUUAGUCUACGGGCUCUUGUCCCCCAACACCUGACAGGAAUUGUGCUCAUGUCUUUGUCAUCUGAAAACCAAACAAACAGGAAAAAAAUAAGACAAAAACUCACAACCUACUCCAAUUAUCACCGUAUUUCUCAUUUCUCUUUAUACCUAAGUAUCUAGAAAAAAAAAAAAAAAUCAACGUGUGCUCACUGGUCUUCAUUACUUCACAUUAAUUUCAACCCACUUAAAUCUUACUUCCACAUCACCUGCUCCACUGAAACUCCUCUCGAAAUUCUGUCCGUUGGGGUGGCAGAGACUUCUGGUUGUCCAUUCCAUAUUUAUUCUCCCCUAUUUCCUUAUCCCAAUGUUGUCAGAAGUAUCGAUGUACCAGGCGAAAGCCCACAGUCACCUGAACCCAUUUCAGCUAGAGAUGAUUAAUUAGUGAAAGCCAAAGUCACUAGAUGGGGCUUUCAGGAAAGUUCUUGAAAGGGAGCUGACCCAGCUAGGAGGGGCCCACCACUUUCCCCCACCUUCCCUCCCCCUACCUAGAAGGUGGAUGUGACAGUUCAAGCUUCAUCAGUUGUCUUUUAACCAUGAGCAACCCUGAGGAUGGGAACUAAGUGCCAAGAAUGGAGAGCAGAGACAGAAACCCGGGACACCGAGGGCACUGUACAAUGACCAGACCUGCUUGGGACUGCCUGCCUCUAGGUUUCUUCUGUUUACAAAAAAUAAACCACUCUCUGUUUGAGUCACAGUUACUUUGAGUCUCUGGGACAAGCAGUCAAAUGCAACUUCCAGGUCAUGCACUUGGUUCUUAUGGUCCUCUACCUUGAUUCUCCUACUACCGCGUGGGCAACUCUUCCCCCAUCCACCCUUAGAUGGUGGAGUUUCUAGUCUCCAGCCCCAUCUCUCUUCAUGCCCGGCCUCCACACUCUAUGUGCUAAAUCUCCUGAGCAAACUGCAGUUCUCUAAAUGGGCCAUGUCCUCUCAUUCUCUUUAUUUCAUUUUAUUUAACUCCAAUUCCUCCUUCAGGAUGGAGUUUAACUGUCACCUCCUCCUGGAAGUCUUCCAUGAUCCCUCAAACCCAAGUCAGACUGUGUCACAAACAUUUAUCACUCAGUAAUAGUGGAUUGUCUCUCCAGAGGAAGGUGAAUUUCUUGGGGUUUCCAUUUCAGUAUUUUUCACUGGGUAUAACUAUGUGCUAGGGAUAUAAAGAUGAAGUAAAACAUGGCCCUGUAUUAAAAAGGUACCCAGCUACAUGAAUUUUCUGAGCGAAUAUUGAAGACAUGUGAAAUGUGCUUUAAACAAAAUAGGUGUUAUGUUAAAAUAUCGUUUCCAAUGCUUACAGUUCUCGUCUGGUACUUACUACACACCACCCCUGUGUAACAGUUCUCCAGACACAUGGCUUUUCUUUAAGGUAAGGAUGAUAGCUCACAUUCUCAUAUCUCCUAUAGAAUCCAAGAUACAGUACCUCGUAUUUAAUGACACCGUUAGUAAAUAUAUGCUCAAUGAACAAAAUGGUAUUAGCUGUCACUCAUCUUUAUAUAGCAUUUGUUAUAGUACUUCAUUGUUAUGAAACAGAAAAUCAUACUCACCUACGGUUUCAAUAAGAAUGAUGUCAUAUCCCCCUCCUUCGCACAACAGAAUGGCUUCAUUUGUGGUCCUUGUCACACCUCCUAAAGUCCCUCUAGUAGGAGAUGGCCUGAUGUAUGCAUUCAUAUCUCUUGAUAACUCAGUCAUUCGGGUUUUAUCACCUAAGAGUGAUCCUAAAACACACAUUUACAUUUUAUAAUCAUGGAACACCUAUAGGGGCCAAUUAUCAAUCAGCCAAUUCCCAGGGGAAGUGCCUUAUGACAUUUCUCCCAAGAUCUCAAAAUCAUUUAUAUAAUUGAGCUUUAGCGCCACACAGCGUAUAUGAUGUCAAAUUAACACCUCAAGCCCCUCAAAAUUUAUAACGGCUUUCCAUUGGCUAGAGGUUCAAAUCUAGAUUCUUCAGUCUAACACUAAAGGCCCUCACAAUGCAGCCCUACCUUACCUGUCCAAUUUCAGCUUCCACUGCCCCCAAAUCAAUCUUCCAAUUCCAGCCAAGACAGCUUCUUUACUGUCCUUUUAACAUUGUUGUCUUUAUGGUUUGCAACUGAAGAUGAUUAUGACCCCAGAGGAAAUCUGGCAAUGUCUGACGAUAUUUUUACUUGUCACAACGGGGGGCAGGAUGCUACCGGCAUCUGGUGCGUAGAGGCCAAGGAUACUGCUAAGCGUCGUUCAGUGUCCCACACCAAGACUGUCAUUAGUGCCAGUGCUUUAAUAUAAGUUCCUUGCCCAUGGAACCACGUCUUACAUUUUCUGUAAUGACUGCCGGUUCCCAGUAGGCAAUUAAUUUAAUACCUAUGGUACAGAAUGAAUGAUGUUCCAAGGUUUACGACAGUAUUUUGGUAAACGUCACUACUUGCAAAUUCUAAAAGACUAAAAUAAAAGCCUUGGAACUGUUGAAAUUCCCUUUAACUUUUACUUUCCUCUAGCCAUAUAACAACAUUGGAGGUGUAGUGCUGUUCUAACCCGAAUUUCAAUUUUCACUCUGCCCAAGAGCUAACUUUUCCACAUAAAGUUGAUGCUAAACAUUGAGAAGUUCCUUAAAGAUAUCAUCUCUCCACUCAUGACUCCAGUUUAGAGUUCCCAUAGGUUCUAAUUCUCGAGCACACGCCUACCAUGCAUCUCAACUACCUUAUUUACUUUUUUCUAAAAAUAUUUAGAUGUUUUUCUAAAACUUUUUCCUAAAAUAAUUUUCUACAUGAAAUCAUCUCUGGAUAAGUCAACAAUCUGCCAAAGCUAUACUUUAAAUUAUUAUCCUAUAGAUCUUAACACACUGAACUAAACAUUAUGAAAUUACUCUCCCAUAUAAUUGUCUUAGCCAGUGAGUCCAAAACUGUCACUUGCAGACCCUAAGGGAAGUCUCAAAGCUACUGCUGGAAUCUGUGAAUCCAAAACACAACAAGGGUUGACUACAGGCCAAAAAAGGAAUGCUUCUCAACCUUAGCAUCAUGCUACUUUCAAAUGCACAGUCCUAUAGCAAUAUUAAAGUAGAAAUGUAAACUUAUAGUGUCUUGUUUAUCCCCAUGUAUUUUUUCUUUCAAAGUCUAUAUAUAUUUUUUUCUUACCUGAGAAAGGGGCGUUCAUUUUUAGUUUAAGAAUUAAGAACCACAUAGCUAUGCAACUUUAAUCAGACUAUCUUGUCACCAUACCUGCUAUCACUAUCUCAAGCUAUGGUUUUCUUUUGCUACUGCAAGUAUUCUAGAAUACUACAAAGGAAAAGAGAAAAAAGGAUCUCUCACCUAUAUGAAAAUGAGAGCCACCAUAAAAAGAAUUAUUUGUUCUGGGGCACUUGGGUGACUCAGUCGGUUAAGUGCUGACUUUGGCUCAGGUUCUGAUCUCGCAGUUCUUGAAUUCAAGCCCCACAUCAGGCUCACUGCUGUCAGCACAGAGCCUGCUUUGGAUCCUCUGUCCCCCCUCUCUGCCCCUGCGCUGCUUGAGCUCCCGCUCUCAACAAUAAACAAACACUAAAGAAAAAAAAUUCUUUGUUCAAAUACUUACCUUUACCAAAGUUCUUAGACUGAAAAUAAGAUAAUAUACUGAUAUGGAUUUAAUCUUGAACGUUGUAAAUACAAUUUUAUUUUAUGGUUAACAUUUUUAUUUUAGUGAAUCAAAAACCGUGCAUACUCUCAGCUAAAGUUCUCAAUGGGUGGUGACAGCCACCUUUCUACUGACCUAAAGCCCCUAAAAUAUAAUGAUAUCAUCUCUAUUUUUAGCGUUAAACCCACUGUAUGCAAACCAAACAUUUCCACAAAGUGCCCUGUAUUCCCUCCCCCCGCCACAACACACAUUACAUUGUAAUGGCCUGUGUGUACAUGUCUGUUUCCCUCGUUAGAUACAGAGCUCCGUAGGCCAGGGGACUGUGUCUCAUUCGCCAUUACACAACAUGGUACCUUCCUUGUACAAUGCCUGGCCUAUAGCAGACAUUCAAACACCUGUGAAAUGAAUAACUGCAAUGUGAGAAGCCUAGAUCAUAAAGAGGGAUAAGGGAAGAAAAACCUUCCUAUUUAUAUGGCAUGCUUUAUGUUUUCCUUAAAUGAUCCUUUGGGGAAACUAAGUUUAUUCAUCGUAUCUCUGAUGAGCUGUGAGUAAACUCGGAUGACUGUGUGACCCUGAAUCAGUAAUUGCUGAGCACUGUACGUGACAUACCAUGCUAAGUGCUGUAGGGACAACAGCGGUAUAUUACAUGGACCCCCUAAGAGCUUUCUGUUGAACCGAACAUGUAAUAUUAACGGGUGACAAAUUGUAAAGAGCAAUAAGAUUUUCUUUUAAGCUUAAGAGAUGUUACAACAAUAUAAGAAAAAAGGCAAUGAACAGACGGACCCAUUUUCUGAACUGCAUAGGGGCUGAUGCUGCCAGGAGGAAACAACAGGAGGGAAGUGGGGGCCUGGCCUCAGGUGUGAUAGAGGGCUCAAAUUUGCUUUUGAUGAUCUUCAACUUCUGGCACCUGUUUUCCUAGUUCUCUAAGUAGCCAGGCUACUCCUGGACUACCCACUAGCCAAGGAGCCUAAUACCCCAAACUACCUCCCUCAAUCUCCACCUUGCCCCUAGGACUCCCUUCUUUCAGUGAGACCAAACUCCGCUAGAGGUUAGAAGUCACCUGACUGUGCAAAUUCCCACUAAAUUAUAACAGAGAGCCCCACGAGCCCCUGCUUUGCAGUUUAAAAAGAAUCAGCAAUACUCACCACCACUGGUACAAGAAGAAGGGUCCACAGCUAGCACGGAUAAUUUGUGCCCUCUCUCAGUAAGCAUUUUUCCAAAAUAUUCUAUGAAGGUUGAUUUUCCAGCACCAGGGGGCCCAGACAAUCCUACAGUAGAGAGGAUCCUUCUAAUU